AUAAGUCAGAUGUGAAAUUACGAGGCUCAACCUCGUGGCUAUGUCUGAAACUAAGUUGCUAGAGUGCAUGAGAGGUAGCUGGAAUUUCCGGUGUAGGAGCGAAAUCCGUAGAUAUCGGGAGGAACACCAAUGGCGUAGGCAGGCUACUGGCACGUUACUGACGCUGAGGCACGAAAGCGUGGGGAGCGAACGGGAUUAGAUACCCUGGUAGUCCACGCCGUAAACGAUGUGUGCUA
rnacentral:rRNA from 1 species